AGCGGAGGAAAAGAAACUAACUAGGAUUCCCCUUAGUAACGGCGAGUGAACAGGGAUGAGCCCAGCGCUGAAUCGCUCAGUCUUAGGCUGUUGCGAGUUGUAGCGUAUAAGUGUAGCUUUGUAAUCAUUUCGUCAGAUCGAAUUCCCUUUGAACAGGGACUUGCCAAAGAGGGUGCUAGACCCGUUCGAUCGCCGACGUUGUGAUUGCAAUCGCUGCUCUUUGGAGUCGGGUUGCUUGAAAGUGCAGCCUAAAGUGGGUGAUAAACUUCAUCUAAGGCUAAAUAUUGAAGGGAAUUCGAUAGCAAACAAGUACCGUGAGGGAAAGUUGCAAAGAACUUUGAAGAGAGAGUUCAAGAGAACGUGAAAUCGUUAAAGUGGAACCGGAGAGAGUUGACGAAGCAUCUGUGGUGAAGGCUUUCGUGAUUGCUUUUAGUGAUUUCGUUUGUUGGAUCUGCUUUAGCUGCGUUGGCGGGGUUAUUGGCGUUAAUUGAAGCGUGUAGCGUUGCCCACUGCCUGUGGUGUCUUGCUUGCGUGGAAACUGAUCGCUGGUAGCCUUUAGCUUUGCUUGCAAAGCGCCAAUGUUCAAGUCGACCACCUUUCCGACCCGUCUUGAAACACGGACCGAGGAGUGUAGCUAGUGCGCGAGUCAAAGGGUGUUAAACCCCACGGCGAAAUGAAAGUAAAGGCUAGUUUACUGGCUUUACAUAGGAGUUGUUCUUUGUUGAGCAAUGCACUAUGGCCCUGUCUUGAAAGCUUGCUUUUGGGCAGAGGAAGAGCGUACUGGUUGCGACCCGAAAGAUGGUGAACUAUGCUUGAGCAGGACGAAGCCAGAGGAAACUCUGGUGGAAGUCCGUAUCGGUUCUGACGUGCAAAUCGAUCGAUAGACUUGAGUAUAGGGCGAAAGACUAAUCGAACCAUCUAGUAGCUGGUUCCUUCCGA
rnacentral:rRNA from 1 species